rnacentral:lncRNA from 1 species
CAAAGACUAACCCUGCUCUCAUCCCACGGUGAGCUCUCCUUUGCAGGUGAGGGGCUUUGAAAUCUGCAAACUGACGAACUAGACCUGUUGUAACAACUCUUUAAAUAAAGAAGCUACCUCAUAUUCCACUCUCCAAAUAUGCCAGAACAUCAGAGUCCUGGGGUCACAGCUGUCUGCUGCUAUGUGCCUGAUUUGGUUGGCUCAGAGGCAUGGAGAAAGUGUUUGCUAUGUCGCCCAACUCCAGUCCACAGCAAAUGCAGCUGCUGUUUCUUCUGAAGCCAGAGUCAAGAGAGAGCAAGUCUACCUUGGUGAGGGUAUUUCAUUUUAAUUGGGUGUCUAUAGACACAGAUUUUGAAAUUUCUCAGA